rnacentral:rRNA from 1 species
UCUGGUAAUGAUGGCAGAGAGGUCACACCAGGUCACACCCGUUCCCAUACCGAACACGGAAGUUAAGCUCUCUAGCGCCGAUGGUAGUUGGGACCUUGUCCCUGUGAGAGUAGGACGUUGCCAGGC